UACGUAGGGGGCGAGCGUUGUCCGGAGUUACUGGCCGUAAAGGGCGCGCAGGCGGUCGUUCAAGUCGAGUGUGAAAGCCCCCGGCUCAACUGGGGAGGGUCACUCGAUACUGAUCGACUUGAAGGCAGGAGAGGGAAGCGGAAUUCCCGGUGUAGUGGUGAAAUGCGUAGAUAUCGGGAGGAACACCAGUGGCGAAGGCGGCUUCCUGGCCUGUUCUUGACGCUGAGGCGCGAAAGCGUGGGGAGCAAACAGG
rnacentral:rRNA from 1 species